rnacentral:rRNA from 1 species
GCUUAACACAUGCAAGUCGAGCGGAAACGAAGAUAGCUUGCUAUCAGGCGUCUAGCGGCGGACGGGGGAGUAAAGCGUAGGAAUCUACCUAGUAGUGGGGGAUAGCCCAGAGAAAUUUGGAUUAAUACCGCAAACGCCCUAUGGGGGAAAGGCUUGUGGACCUUUCGCUAUUAGAUGAGCCUGCGUGAGAUUAGCUAGUUGGUGAGGUAAAGGCUCACCAAGGCGACGAUCUCUAGCUGGUCUGAGAGGAUGAUCAGCCACACUGGGACUGAGACACGGCCCAGACUCCUACGGGAGGCAGCAGUGGGGAAUAUUGGACAAUGGGGGCAACCCUGAUCCAGCCAUGCCGCGUGUGUGAAGAAGGCCUUCGGGUUGUAAAGCACUUUCAGCGAGGAGGAAGGGGUGUUGCUUAAUACGCGACACUCUUGACGUUACUCGCAGAAGAAGGACCGGCUAACUCCGUGCCAGCAGCCGCGGUAAUACGGAGGGUCCGAGCGUUAAUCGGAAUUACUGGGCGUAAAGCGCGCGUAGGCGGUUAGAUCAGUCAACUGUGAAAGCCCUGGGCUCAACCUGGGAACUGCAGCUGAUACUGUCUGACUAGAGUUUGGUAGAGGAGUGUGGAAUUUCCUGUGUAGCGGUGAAAUGCGUAGAGAUCUGAAGGAAUACCAGUGGCGAAGGCGGCCCCCUGGAUUGAUACUGACACUGAGGUGCGAAAGCGUGGGUAGCAAACAGGAUUAGAUACCCUGGUAGUCCAUGCCGUAAACGAUGUCAACUACCGUUGGAAGACUUGAUCUUUUGGUGGCGCAGCUAACGCAAUAAGUUGACCGCCUGGGGAGUACGGCCGCAAGGUUAAAACUCAAAUGAAUUGACGGGGGCCCGCACAAGCGGUGGAGCAUGUGGUUUAAUUCGAAGCAACGCGAAGAACCUUACCUACUCUUGACAUCCUCAGAACUUAGCAGAGAUGCUUUGGUGCCUUCGGGAACUGAGUGACAGGUGCUGCAUGGCUGUCGUCAGCUCGUGUUGUGAAAUGUUGGGUUAAGUCCCGUAACGAGCGCAACCCUUGUCCUUAGUUGCCGCACGUAAUGGUGGGAACUUUAAGGAGACUGCCGGUGACAAACCGGAGGAAGGUGGGGACGACGUCAAGUCAUCAUGGCCCUUACGACCUGGGCUACACACGUGCUACAAUGGCCGGUACAGAGGGUUGCCAAGCCGCGAGGUGGAGCUAAUCCCAGAAAGCCGGUCGUAGUUCGGAUUGGAGUCUGCAACUCGACUCCAUGAAGCCGGAAUCGCUAGUAAUCGCGAAUCAGAAUGUCGCGGUGAAUACGUUCCCGGGCCUUGUACACACCGCCCGUCACACCAUGGGAGUGGGUUGCAAAAGAAGUGGGUAGACGAAAAAUGGGCGCUCAUCG